AGGGCACCACCAGGAGUGGAGCCUGCGGCUUAAUUUGACUCAACACGGGGAAACUCACCAGGUCCAGACAUGACUAGGAUUGACAGAUUGAUAGCUCUUUCAUGAUCUCAUGGGUGGUGGUGCAUGGCCGUUCUUAGUUGGUGGAGUGAUUUGUCUGGUUAAUUCCGAUAACGAACGAGACCUUAACCUGCUAAAUAGCCAGGCCGGCUUUGGCUGGUCGCGGGCUUCUUAGAGGGACUGUCGGCGUCUAGCCGACGGAAGUUUGAGGCA
rnacentral:rRNA from 1 species